CCAAUAGCGUAUAUUAAAGUUGUUGCAGUUAAAAAGCUCGUAGUUGAAUUUCGGGAUUGGCACAUCGGUCGUGCCCUAAGGGGUAUGAACUGGUGUAGUCAAUUUCUCACCUUCUGGAGAACCGCGAUGCCCUUAAUUGGGUGUCACGGGGAACCAGGACCUUUACUUUGAAAAAAUUAGAGUGUUUAAAGCAGGCAUUUUGCUUGAAUACAUUAGCAUGGAAUAAUAAAAUAGGACGGCAUGAUUCUAUUUUGUUGGUUUCUAGGAUCACUGUAAUGAUUAAUAGGGAGAGUUGGGGGCAUUAGUAUUCAAUUGUCAGAGGUGAAAUUCUUGGAUUUAUUGAAGACUAACUACUGCGAAAGCAUUUGCAAAGGAUGUUUUCAUUAAUCAAGAACGAAAGUUAGGGGAUCGAAGACGAUCAGAUACCGUCGUAGUCUUAACCAUAAGCUAUGCCGACUAGGAAUCAGACGAUGUUAAUUUUUUAAUGACUCGUUUGGCACCUUACG
rnacentral:rRNA from 1 species